CCUACGGGUGGCAGCAGUGAGGAAUAUUGGUCAAUGGGCUUACGCCUGAACCAGCGAAGUCGCGUGAGGGAAGACUUCCCUCGGGGUUGUAAACCUCUUUUGUCAGGGAGCAAGUGGCGCUACGUGUAGCGUUAUCGGGAGUAGCUGAAGACAAAGCAUCGGCUAACUCGGUGCCAGCAGCCGCGGUGAUACGGGGGAUGCGAGGGUUAUCCGGAUUUAUUGGGGUAAAGGGGUGUGUAAGGGGAAUGCCAAGUCCGCGGGAAAAGCGCGGGGCUCAACCUCGCUCCGCCGUUGAAACUGGCUUGCUGGAGUGGGCGAGAAGUAUGCGGAAUGCGUGGUGUAGCGGUGAAAUGCAUAGAUAUCAGGCAGAACUCCGGUUGCGAAGGCAGCAUACCGGCGCCCAACUGACGCUGAAGCACGAAAGCGUGGGUAUCGAACAGGAUUAGAUACCCGAGUAGUC
rnacentral:rRNA from 1 species